rnacentral:lncRNA from 1 species
ACGAUAGCUACAAAAUUAUCCUCUCUUGCAUAUAUAAUUAUACCGGUAUGGAUGAUUGGUUGAUUAAUUUGUUGAUUGAUUGCUUUUUAACGCCACUUUCAACACUAUCAUGCUAAUUCGUGCUGGUGAGUUUAUAUUGAUGGAGAAAGCCGAAGUCCCCGGAAAGAAACACCGACUUUCGGUACGAAAAACUAAUAAUUCUAUUCAAUUGAGAUUGGAGUCGAG